UUUGUCGUCUCCAUCUACUUUAGACAAUAAAGUUUGUUGCAUGUUUUUCCUGUAGCUCACUCCCAAUCAGCCGUGAUGUCAACUGGGUCAUCAGGGAAAGAACAAGAGGAGUCUCAAGAGUUAAAUGAUGACAGUGAGCAGAGACCUCAUGGAGACUUCCCUAGUCUCCACAAGUUUUCAGCACACAGAGCAUACUGGGGACAGAAACUCCAAGACAGCCAGGAACAACUGCUGUCUCAUGUCUUGGAUGAGACCAAAAACCACACUCAGCACCAUGCAAUGGUGAAGAACAUCAUCCUGACCCGCUUUGACUUUUGGACUCUGGGUUUGCAGCGGGACAUGGAGGGAACGGUAGGCAUAGAGAAUGUGUUGUGCUGAUAUGGUUUAUGUAAUAUUUUUCAAAAUCUUUCAAUAAUUUGUGUUUAUGUGUUCUACUAGAUCCUGAACUCUUGUCUCAAAAUGAUUGAGAAGGUAGUGUAGCUCCUGUGAAAUAUUUAAUUCAAAAUUAUUGGAUAGUCUAGUUCAAUAGUCAAUAUAUUUUGACAGUAAGAGAUUUAGCAAACUUUCUCU